rnacentral:rRNA from 1 species
UACGGGAGAUGCAAGCGUUGUUCGGAAUCACUGGGCUUAAAGCGCGUGUAGGCGGUUCGGUAAGUACCUUGUGAAAGCCCUCCUCUCAAUGGAGGAAUUGCUUGGUAUACUGCCAGACUUGAGGCAGGUAGGGGUGCCUGGAACUCUAGGUGGAGCGGUGAAAUGCGUAGAUAUCUAGAGGAACGCCCGUGGCGAAAGCGGGGCACUGGGCCUGUACUGACGCUGAGACGCGAAAGCGUGGGUAGCAAACGGG